UACGGAGGGUGCGAGCGUUAAUCGGAAUUACUGGGCGUAAAGCGCACGCAGGCGGUUUGUUAAGCUAGAUGUGAAAGCCCCGGGCUCAACCUGGGAUGGUCAUUUAGAACUGGCAGACUAGAGUCUUGGAGAGGGGAGUGGAAUUCCAGGUGUAGCGGCGAAAUGCGUAGAUAUCUGGAGGAACAUCAGUGGCGAAGGCGACUCCCUGGCCAAAGACUGACGCUCAUGUGCGAAAGUGUGAGUAGCGAACAGG
rnacentral:rRNA from 1 species